CCUACGGGUGGCUGCAGUGGGGAAUAUUGGACAAUGGGCGAAAGCCUGAUCCAGCCAUGCCGCGUGUGUGAAGAAGGCCUUCGGGUUGUAAAGCACUUUCAGUGGGGAAGAAAGCCUUGGGGCUAAUACCCUCGAGGAAGGACAUCACCAACAGAAGAAGCACCGGCUAACUCCGUGCCAGCAGCCGCGGUAAUACGGAGGGUGCGAGCGUUAAUCGGAAUUACUGGGCGUAAAGCGCGCGUAGGCGGUCUGAUAAGCCGGUUGUGAAAGCCCCGGGCUCAACCUGGGAACGGCAUCCGGAACUGUCAGGCUAGAGUGCAGGAGAGGAAGGUAGAAUUCCCGGUGUAGCAGUGAAAUGCGUAGAGAUCGGGAGGAAUACCAGUGGCGAAGGCGGCCUUCUGGACUGACACUGACGCUGAGGUGCGAAAGCGUGGGUAGCAAACAGGAUUAGAUACCCGAGUAGUC
rnacentral:rRNA from 1 species